UUAGUUUCGUGUAUAUUUAAAAAAAUACAGUGCCUGAAUGCAUUCAAUGACCAUCAGGGACAUGUUUGCUCUGGUGUCGUAAUUGUGCAAGCCUUUGCAAAGAGAGGUUAGGAGAUCUUUAUAUUAUGAUAAAAACUCAUUCAGAAUAAGAGCUCAUGGGAAGGUAAAAAUUCCUGAUAUUAGCAGCCUAGUACCUCGUCAGCGUAAUUUUUUAUUACUGAGUAUUGAAGCACUGCUUGUCUAUAAGUAAAUGAGAUGACACGGGAAGCUGUGAGGACUAGUGUGGCUGGAUGCAGACAAGGAGCACAUGCCUGGCUACCCAGGUCCAUCCUUUAUGAAGUUCAUCAGGGGCUACUUAUUCCUUGAGCUACCAGUCUAGAAGUGCCCUCAGGAGAAAAGACGUUAUCGCUGGAAUUAAUUACUUCUCCGUAUACCAGAGCACUGGCAGCCUGAAUUUGUUACAUCAAAGGAUAUUGACUGAGAAGACAAAUAAUUAAAUGACCCGUAACGCAGUUCAGAGUUAAAGAGGUACCAACUGCUGAGAUGCCUUUGUCUUCCCUAGAAGCAGGAUGUGACCAAUCACUUCGUAACUUGGUGAGAAGAGGGAAUUGGGAUGCAGCUGGCCAUCAGAUGCUGUCUCCAAGCUCUUUGCAAGCUUCCUGCUCUGCACAGAGUAUCUUGCCUUUGCGGGUUCCUGAACCAGACUGUGGGAACUCGUUGGAAGAUCUGCAUUAGGGACCAGCUCUCACUGAGCUCCUGCAAGAAGAGCAGAAUGUUGCCUAAAGUGCGGAUUUUUUCUGCUUCUUAUGAAAAAAAGAAGAAUAGUACAUCUUUCUGUAGGAGGCUUUGUCAAGGCAUAAACUGGAAAUGUGUUCCUGGAAUUGCUUACUAUCAAUAAAAAGCAUUUGAAACUUAGAUAUAAGUUUUCAUAAUGAAUUGUUUGGGAAAAGCAUUUUUGUGCUAGUACUGUAUACACAUCAGACCUUUGGGCUGACAAAUAAUGUCAAUAAAAUAUGGUAUUACCCUUCCAGCAAA